rnacentral:rRNA from 1 species
AACGAACGCUGGCGGCAGGCUUAACACAUGCAAGUCGAGCGCCCCGCAAGGGGAGCGGCAGACGGGUGAGUAACGCGUGGGAAUCUACCCAUCCCUACGGAAUAGCUCCGGGAAACUGGAAUUAAUACCGUAUACGCCCUACGGGGGAAAGAUUUAUCGGGGAUGGAUGAGCCCGCGUUGGAUUAGCUAGUUGGUGGGGUAAAGGCCUACCAAGGCGACGAUCCAUAGCUGGUCGGAGAGGAUGAUCAGCCACAUUGGGACUGAGACACGGCCCAAACUCCUACGGGAGGCAGCAGUGGGGAAUAUUGGACAAUGGGGGCAACCCUGAUCCAGCCAUGCCGCGUGAGUGAUGAAGGCCUUAGGGUUGUAAAGCUCUUUUGUCCGGGAAGAUAAUGACUGUACCGGAAGAAUAAGCCCCGGCUAACUUCGUGCCAGCCGCCGCCGUAA